GACGAACGCUGGCGGCGUGCCUAAUACAUGCAAGUCGAGCGAAUCAAAGGGAGCUUGCUCCCUGAGGUUAGCGGCGGACGGGUGAGUAACACGUGGGCAACCUGCCUAUAAGACUGGGAUAACUUCGGGAAACCGGAGCUAAUACCGGAUAAUUCUUAUCAACUCAUGUUGGUAAGCUGAAAGAUGGUUUACGCUAUCACUUAUAGAUGGGCCCGCGGCGCAUUAGCUAGUUGGUGAGGUAACGGCUCACCAAGGCGACGAUGCGUAGCCGACCUGAGAGGGUGAUCGGCCACACUGGGACUGAGAAACGGCCCAGACGCCUACGGGAGGCAGCAGUAGGGAAUCUUCCGCAAUGGACGAAAGUCUGACGGAGCAACGCCGCGUGAGUGAUGAAGGUUUUCGGAUCGUAAAACUCUGUUGUUAGGGAAGAACAAGUACUAGAGUAACUGCUCGUACCUUGACGGUACCUAACCAGAAAGCCACGGCUAACUACGUGCCAGCCGCCGCGGUAAUAC
rnacentral:rRNA from 1 species